rnacentral:misc_RNA from 1 species
GGAAUUUAAAAGAGUUUGACAAACUAUUAGCAAAUGGGUUUCAAAAUUGCAUUGUUUUCAGUGAAUUCAGGUAUCGCAGAAAAGGCAGAUUACUAAAUGGAUCAUGGGCGCUAGGAAAAUCUUCGCUGCUUGCAAUGCAAGGUUGACCGCCAAGUCCCAUCUACUCUACAGACUUUUGUUAAUAAAAAAGGUCAAAAAAUACUGCAAUAAUUUGGCCCAACUUUUUUCAAUUUUCUGGCCUCUCACCUGAAUGCUUCUUUUGUUGGAGGUAUAAAGAGGGUAUCUCAUCAACCACCAAGUGCACGUGGACAUCGCCGCUUUUAUUUUUGUGACCUGACCACCGUCUGUGAAAAAUACCAUGGGCACACACUGGAUAUUCGGAACCCUUAUGGGCAACGCUUAUCCUGGUUAAAAAU